rnacentral:rRNA from 1 species
GGGCUCGCAGGCGGUUUCUUAAGUCUGAUGUGAAAGCCCCCGGCUCAACCGGGGAGGGUCAUUGGAAACUGGGGAACUUGAGUGCAGAAGAGGAGAGUGGAAUUCCACGUGUAGCGGUGAAAUGCGUAGAGAUGUGGAGGAACACCAGUGGCGAAGGCGACUCUCUGGUCUGUAACUGACGCUGAGGAGCGAAAGCGUGGGGAGCGAACAGGAUUAGAUACCCUGGUAGUCCACGCCGUAAACGAUGAGUGCUAAGUGUUAGGGGGUUUCCGCCCCUUAGUGCUGCAGCUAACGCAUUAAGCACUCCGCCUGGGGAGUACGGUCGCAAGACUGAAACUCAAAGGAAUUGACGGGGGCCCGCACAAGCGGUGGAGCAUGUGGUUUAAUUCGAAGCAACGCGAAGAACCUUACCAGGUCUUGACAUCCUCUGACAAUCCUAGAGAUAGGACGUCCCCUUCGGGGGCAGAGUGACAGGUGGUGCAUGGUUGUCGUCAGCUCGUGUCGUGAGAUGUUGGGUUAAGUCCCGCAACGAGCGCAACCCUUGAUCUUAGUUGCCAGCAUUCAGUUGGGCACUCUAAGGUGACUGCCGGUGA